rnacentral:rRNA from 1 species
AUUGAACGCUGGCGGCAUGCCUUACACACGCAAGUCGAACGGCAGCACGGGAGCAAUCCUGGUGGCGAGUGGCGAACGGGUGAGUAAUAUAUCGGAACGUGCCCGGUCGUGGGGGAUAACGUAGCGAAAGCUACGCUAAUACCGCAUACGAUCUACGGAUGAAAGCGGGGGAUCGCAAGACCUCGCGCGAUUGGAGCGGCCGAUAUCAGAUUAGGUAGUUGGUGAGGUAAAGGCUCACCAAGCCGACGAUCUGUAGCUGGUCUGAGAGGACGACCAGCCACACUGGGACUGAGACACGGCCCAGACUCCUACGGGAGGCAGCAGUGGGGAAUUUUGGACAAUGGGCGCAAGCCUGAUCCAGCAAUGCCGCGUGCAGGAUGAAGGCC